rnacentral:rRNA from 1 species
GCUCAGGAUGAACGCUAGCGGCAGGCUUAACACAUGCAAGUCGAGGGGCAGCGAGUAAGUAGCAAUACUUAUGUCGGCGACCGGCGCAAGGGUGAGUAACGCGUGAGCAACAUGCCCUGUUCAGGGGGAUAACCCGGAGAAAUCCGGACUAAUAUCCCAUAUAUUAUUUUAAGGCAUCUUAGAAUAAUAAAAGGUUCGCUGGAACAGGAUUGGCUCGCGUAACAUUAGCUAGUUGGUAAGGUAACGGCUUACCAAGGCGACGAUGUUUAGGGGAACUGAGAGGUUGACCCCCCACACUGGAACUGAGACACGGUCCAGACUCCUACGGGAGGCAGCAGUGAGGAAUAUUGGACAAUGGUCGGAAGACUGAUCCAGCCAUGCCGCGUGAAGGAAACGGUCCUAUGGAUUUUCAACUUCUUUUGUAUGAGAGCAAUAAGGUGUACGAGUACACCGAUGAGAGUAUCAUACGAAUAAGCACCGGCUAACUCCGUGCCAGCAGCCGCGGUAAUACGGAGGGUGCAAGCGUUAUCCGGAUUUAUUGGGUUUAAAGGGUGCGUAGGCUGUUUGUUAAGUCAGCGGUGAAAUAUCAGAGCUUAACUCUGAAAUUGCCGUUGAAACUGGCAAGCUGGAAUACGGUUGCCGUGGGAGGAAUGUGUAAUGUAGCGGUGAAAUGCAUAGAUAUUACACAGAACACCGAUUGCGAAGGCAUCUCACGAAACCGGCAUUGACGCUGAUGCACGAAAGUGCGGGGAUCAAACAGGAUUAGAUACCCUGGUAGUCCGCACAGUAAACGAUGAUAACUAGCUGUUUGCGAUAUACAGUAAGUGGCUAAGUGAAAGCGAUAAGUUAUCCACCUGGGGAGUACGACCGCAAGGUUGAAACUCAAAGGAAUUGACGGGGGCCCGCACAAGCGGAGGAACAUGUGGUUUAAUUCGAUGAUACGCGAGGAACCUUACCCAGGCUCGAACGGUAUGUGAACGAUACGGAGAUGUAAAGGUCAGCAAUGACACAUAUCGAGGUGCUGCAUGGUUGUCGUCAGCUCGUGCCGUGAGGUGUCGGCUUAAAUGCCAUAACGAGCGCAACCCUUGUUGACAGUUGCCAUCAGGUAAAGCUGGGGACUCUGUCGAGACUGCCACCGUAAGGUGUGAGGAAGGGGGGGAUGACGUCAAAUCAGCACGGCCCUUAUGUCUGGGGCGACACACGUGUUACAAUGGUGAGUACAGAGGGGAGCUACACAGUGAUGUGAUGCCAAUCUCAAAAACUCAUCUCAGUUCGGAUCGGAGUCUGCAACUCGACUCCGUGAAGUUGGAUUCGCUAGUAAUCGCGCAUCAGCCAUGGCGCGGUGAAUACGUUCCCGGGCCUUGUACACACCGCCCGUCAAGCCAUGGAAGCUGGGGGUGCCUGAAGUCCGAGACCGCAAGGAUCGACCUAAGGCAAAACUAGUAACUGGGGCUAAGUCGUAACAAGGUAACCAAUCGAAUUCC